GGAAACAUAGCUUAUUUUAAAGCCUGGCUUUGAAGAAGCUAAGAUAAUAUUUAUAUUUGUUUUCA
rnacentral:tRNA from 1 species